GACAGAGGGGGCAAGCGUUGCUCGGAAUUACUGGGCGUAAAGGGCGCGUAGGCGGUCGUGACAAGUCACUUGUGAAAUCUCCGGGCUUAACUCGGAAAGGUCAAGUGAUACUGUCGGACUAGAGUACAGAAGGGGCAACUGGAAUUCUCGGUGUAGCGGUGAAAUGCGUAGAUAUCGAGAGGAACACCUGCGGCGAAGGCGGGUUGCUGGGCUGAUACUGACGCUGAGGCGCGAAAGCUAGGGGAGCGAACGGG
rnacentral:rRNA from 1 species